GCAGCGGGACAGGCGGUCGCCGGCGGACGGGGAAACCCGGACGCGGGAGGAAAGUCCGAGCUCCGCAGGGCAGGGUGCCGGGUAACGCCCGGUGGGAGUGAUCUCGAGGAGAGUGCCACAGAGAACAGACCGCCUCGCCGUGGGGAAACCCAUCACGAGGUAAGGGUGAAACGGUGGGGUAAGAGCCCACCGCGUCCCUGGUAACAGGGAUGGCACGGUAAACCCCACCUGGAGCAAGGCCGUGUAGGGAAGCGCUUCUCGGCUCCGGCCGAGAGGCAGGGGUGGCCCGCCCCGACGCUUCCGGGUUGGCUGCUGGAGGCGCGCGGUGACGCGCGUCCUAGAGGAAUGAUCGUCGGCCCGAGGAGGGAGACCUCUCCGGGCAACAGAACUCGGCUUAUGUCUCCUGCGACC
rnacentral:RNase_P_RNA from 1 species